rnacentral:rRNA from 1 species
CUACGGGGCGCUGCAGUGAGGAAUAUUGGUCAAUGGGCGCAAGCCUGAACCAGCCACUCCGCGUGUAGGAUGACUGCCCUAUGGGUUGUAAACUACUUUUAUACAGGAAGAAACCUCCAUACGUGUAUGGAGCUGACUGUACUGUAAGAAUAAGCAUCGGCUAACUCCGUGCCAGCAGCCGCGGUAAUACGGAGGAUGCAAGCGUUAUCCGGAUUUAUUAGGUCUAAAGGGUGCGUAGGCGGAUAUUUAAGUCAGUGGUGAAAUCCUAUAGCUUAACUGUAGAACUGCCAUUGAUACUGGAAGUCUUGAGUUUAGUUGAGGUAGGCGGAAUGUGUAGUGUAGCGGUGAAAUGCUUAGAUAUUACACAGAACACCGAUUGCGAAGGCAGCUUACUAAGCUAACACUGACGCUGAGGCACGAAAGCGUGGGGAGCGAACAGGAUUAGAUACCCCGGUAGUC